UACGAAGGGGGGCUAGCGUUGCUCGGAAUUACUGGGCGUAAAGCGCACGUAGGCGGCUUCUUAAGUCGGUGGUGAAAUCCUGGAGCUCAACUCCAGAACUGCCUUCGAUACUGGGAAGCUCGAGUCCGGGAGAGGUGAGUGGAACUGCGAGUGUAGAGGUGAAAUUCGUAGAUAUUCGCAAGAACACCAGUGGCGAAGGCGGACUC
rnacentral:rRNA from 1 species